UUGAGAGUAUUUACUUAUUCUGAGAGAGAGAGAGAGAGAACGAAUCCCAGGCAGGCUCCACACUGUCAACACAGAGCCCAACAUGGGGCUCAAACUCAUGAACCGUUAGAUCAUGACCUGAGCCAAAAUCAAGAGUCGGCCACUUAACCUACUGAGCCACCCAGGCACCCCUCUAUACAUAUGUUUUUUGGUCUCUUUUUCCCUACUGGAAUUUACCAGAAUCUAAGCUCCAUGAGGACAUGCUCUUAGUGCCUAGAAAAUCCCUGGACUUUAACAGGCACUAAAUGACUAUAUAGUGGCUAUUCCAGACAAUGUGCUUGAUUCUGAGAUACUCAUCCUACCUGAGAAUUUUAGCAACAAACAAAAAAGGGCCUAACCACCUGCUAUAGUAAGAAUCUUUAGGCGCCCCUAUAGAUUCUAAAUUUGAAAAAAUUGACUUCACUUGCCACAAAUUGAGUACCUACAGUGAAGGGGGAAAAUAGGUUGUAUAGAUUUUGUGGAGAAAAGGCAACUAAACUCAAGUUUUUUUUAAAUUUGCAGUAUUCACCUCAGUAUCUUGUGCAAUGCCCUGAUUUUUGGUGUUUUAGAGGAGGUGAACAAAACUAAUUUUUCUUUUUGUUUAUGUCAUUAUCAAAUAAGUUUUGAGGUGUUUGGAAAAAUCUUAUGAGGCAGAGUUUGAACUAUUUUCUCAUAUCACACCAUUUUUUUAUAAAUAGAAGAUACAAAUUUCUGAUCCCCUAGCAACUCAAGAUUAUUUUUUAAUUGAUGUUAAUAUCCUGAAUCUGACACUAAUAGGGAAAAAUAAGAGCAGUGAUUUUUUUCAUUAAAGGUACUCAGACUCAAGUGUGGUUUCAACAGAUGGCAGCUGAAAUAAAUAAAUCUCUGUAUACAGUGGAAUUACAUAGUUUAAAGAAUAGUCUGUCAUCCACCACUGCUUACACUGUGUUAAGGAUAUAUCAAAUUAUUUGCGUUUAUAAAAAAGUACUGCAUCUCUUACAUCUUUGUACUUCUACGUAUUGCUUCUUCUUCCUCUACUGAUCUUUCCUUUGAUUUGGUUUUACCUUUUCCAGGAUGCUUCUCCUGAUGUCCUUGGUCUCAAUUUGAGCAAUUCUGUCUUUGUGUCUGAAAGACCUUUUGCAUAAUUUACAUAAAUUAUCACAUUUUAUUAAUUUGCUAAUCUCAUUCCCCUAAAAUAUUACUCAUUGAAACAAUAAAGGGACUGUCUUUUA